CCAUCUUAGGGGUCCCACCGCCCCUCUCAGAGGCCGUCCCUCUCUGAGGUCCCACCACCCAUCUUAGGGGUCCCACCGCCCCUCUCAGAGGCCGUCCCUCUCUGAGGUCCCACCACCCAUCUUAGGGGUCCCACCGCCCCUCUCAGAGGCCGUGUCCCUCUGAGGUCCCACCACCCAUCUCAGGGGUCCCACCGUCCCUCUCAGGGGUCGUGCCUCCCUGAGGUCUCACCACCCAUUUCAGGGCCCCACCGCCCCUCUGAGGGGCCGUCCCUCUCUGAGGUCCCACCACCCAUCUCAGGGGCCCGCCGCCCCUCGCAGGGGUCGCGCCCCUGUCAGGUCUUUUGCCCCACUCAGGGGUCCCGCCGCCGCCCCUCAGGGGUCCUGCCACCCCCCUCAGGGUCCCACCCCUCCCAGGGGUCCCGCCGCUCCCUGCCAGCUGCAGGAGGGGUCCGGGGGUCUGCGGCAGCGCCUCACGAGCCUGGGCUGCGCCUGACGGUCCCGCAGGGAGCCGCGCUCCGGCCCUCGCCCUGUCCUGCGCUGCGUUUGGGGGACAACGGAGGUUUUGGCCGCGGCGAGUGAGGUCUUGGUGCAAGGUGCUGACCGUGACACCCGGGAUCCCCUGUGCCGGACUGUGGGAGCACAGGGCUGCCCCUUAGCUGGGGCAGAUGGCUGUGAAAUUUAGGUGAACGUUUGCAAGAGCAGAGCUGAGACCUACACACAAUCCCUCCCUUCAGACCCAGUUCACUGAACUCCUUUGUCUGGCAACCUUUCCACAAUGAAGUCAUGUGUAUAACUGAGGAUUAAAGAGUAAAAUUCAGUCUUUUAAGCUUUGUAAA